UUGACUUGUUGAAGACCCAUAAAUAACAUAAAACAACAUACAGGGGGUUAAAAUAACAUAUUCGGGGUGAUGACGUAUCAUGUCCCCGACAGUUUGUAGUCCUAUUGAGCAACUUGUUAGCAACCGCCUUUUUUACGACACGUAAAAACUUCAAAGUUCACAAGUAGAGUAUUUACUGACGUGUUUUAUGUCGUAGAACAAAACGUGAAACUCGCUUAAGCUUUUGUUGACCACAGACCUUAUUUAAGGCAUUUUACCAAUCCCAUUCAAAAAACGUAUUGGCUUUUAGGUGAGGGAACCGGAUGCGCUAAAAAUGCUAACGGACUUCCGUGUUUACUAACAGACUCUAUUGUAGAGUGUUCAAAUUACCACCCACUCCCCUACGUGGGAAACACUGGGUGUAAAUGUAAGAAAUUAGGAAUAAUAAAUUAUGCCAUUCUUGUCUUGAAGCGACAUGCUGGUUCCCGUAGAAUAUAGAGGAGUCAGCAAGUGGGUCAGGGUACCACAGUUGGAGGACGAGUACAAUUACUCCCAGUUUUUGCAAGCAGUGCUGGCAAAAUUCAAUUUGCCACGUUCUGCUUCCUUGAGCCUAAAGGAUUCCUCUAAUGUGGAAGUGGAUUCUGACAUAUUUGAUUAACUCUUGAAGUCAUCUGGGGUAUCUUUCAAGGCCGAAGAAUGUGAUGGUAUCAAUGCUGAGGAGGAAAUCUCAGAGGGCUCAUCUUUAUCAGACUGGUCACCAUCACCAUCACGUGCAUCUCAAGGGUCAUCAUCAGGUUCUGACUCAACGCUGAUACUGGAAUCUACCAAAGUUCGAAAAAGACAGCUAGUUGAAGGACCCCUGGAUAGCAACAUUGCCAGAGAUGUAAGUUAACCA